rnacentral:rRNA from 1 species
AACGAACGCUGGCGGCAUGCCUACACAUGCAAGUCGAACGAGACCCUCGGGUCUAGUGGCGCACGGGUGCGUAACGCGUGGGAACCUGCCCUUAGGUUCGGAAUAACUCCCCGAAAGGGGUGCUAAUACCGGAUAAUGUCUUCGGACCAAAGAUUUAUCGCCUUUGGAUGGGCCCGCGUUGGAUUAGCUAGUUGGUAGGGUAAAAGCCUACCAAGGCGACGAUCCAUAGCUGGUCUGAGAGGAUGAUCAGCCACACUGGGACUGAGACACGGCCCAGACUCCUACGGGAGGCAGCAGUGGGGAAUAUUGGACAAUGGGCGAAAGCCUGAUCCAGCAAUGCCGCGUGAGUGAUGAAGGCCUUAGGGUUGUAAAGCUCUUUUACCCGGGAUGAUAAUGACAGUACCGGGAGAAUAGGCUCCGGCUAACUCCGUG